rnacentral:rRNA from 1 species
UGCAAGUCGAACGGUAACAGGAAGCAGCUUGCUGCUUUGCUGACGAGUGGCGGACGGGUGAGUAAUGUCUGGGAAACUGCCUGAUGGAGGGGGAUAACUACUGGAAACGGUAGCUAAUACCGCAUAACGUCGCAAGACCAAAGAGGGGGACCUUCGGGCCUCUUGCCAUCGGAUGUGCCCAGAUGGGAUUAGCUAGUAGGUGGGGUAACGGCUCACCUAGGCGACGAUCCCUAGCUGGUCUGAGAGGAUGACCAGCCACACUGGAACUGAGACACGGUCCAGACUCCUACGGGAGGCAGCAGUGGGGAAUAUUGCACAAUGGGCGCAAGCCUGAUGCAGCCAUGCCGCGUGUAUGAAGAAGGCCUUCGGGUUGUAAAGUACUUUCAGCGGGGAGGAAGGCGAUAAGGUUAAUAACCUUGUCGAUUGACGUUACCCGCAGAAGAAGCACCGGCUAACUCCGUGCCAGCAGCCGCGGUAAUACGGAGGGUGCAAGCGUUAAUCGGAAUUACUGGGCGUAAAGCGCACGCAGGCGGUCUGUCAAGUCGGAUGUGAAAUCCCCGGGCUCAACCUGGGAACUGCAUUCGAAACUGGCAGGCUAGAGUCUUGUAGAGG